UACGGAGGGUGCAAGUGUUAUCCGGAUUCACUGGGUUUAAAGGGUGCGUAGGCGGGCAGGUAAGUCAGUGGUGAAAUCCUAGAGCUUAACUCUAGAACUGCCAUUGAUACUAUCUGUCUUGAAUAUUGUGGAGGUAAGCGGAAUAUGUCAUGUAGCGGUGAAAUGCUUAGAUAUGACAUAGAACACCUAUUGCGAAGGCAGCUUACUACGCAUAUAUUGACGCUGAGGCACGAAAGCGUGGGGAUCAAACAGG
rnacentral:rRNA from 1 species